CAGUACACUUCAUCCCAGGAGGGAAAAAUCUUCAUCCGCGCUCAGCAAAGAACCCGUCUCUGUGUUACAGUAUCAAGAGCUAAAGCAAGAAGGGGAGAAAAAGGAGCUGGGGAUAACCUAAAAAUGCAUCUGCCAGGGACACUGGCCUCCGAUUCGGUGUCUUCUGUUAGCAGAGAUGAAGCCGGAAACAGUCUUUUUCCUGUAAACUGAGUGAAGCCCAGAGAACUCAGCUUUGUGUGAUCAGACACCUGAAAUCUGGAAUGCCGUCUGCUGUCUUCCACAGACCCAGCAGGGAAGAGAAGGAAACUCCUCGACCAAAGAGAGGUUCAACGUUUGCUGGAACGGCUCCCGGAACUCUGGAAAACACUUUACUUAGGUUUUACCAGCGUUCAUGGAACAAGGAGGCCAUGACACCGAAUUGGCUCUGAAGCCUUGGCGGCUUUAGUUUCUGGUGACCAGGAUGAGACUUGCUGGGAUACCCCACUCACUCUGGAGCCUGAAGGCAGCAUCCUUGGAAAACUGGCAGAAGACAGCAAAGGGUCUCCUCCGCGAGCCAGAGAGCCGCCUGUAUUUCCCUCUCCCCCACCUGUGCCUGCAUCUGAUAGACCCUGUCGUGCUGAACUGAACGGAUCCCUCUGCGUUUGACUCACCAGUGGAGUCGGGGUCUUCUCUACAUCCAGAAUUAACUUGCCGAUGUUUCCUCGGUCGUGGAUCCGCUGCAUGGCCUCCUUCACCUGAACCAGGAGAAAAACGGAAGCGCUGAUUGGGUUCACAGAUGAGAAACCUAAAGGUGAAAAAUCUAAGGAAUCUGUCCCCGGUCACCCACUGAAAGGAGUUCGAACCACUUGGGAACUGAGAGAGCAGUUACCCCUUUACAGGACUCUGGACAAAAUCCGGGACAGGGCUCUGCUGUCUGCACCCCGAAACUGCCCUCACAUAACUCCAUCACGAGCCCCCAUGGAUCGCAACCCAUCAGAGUUGACCCUGGGCCAUUGUUGGUUCAUGCUCCAACAAAGUCUAGUGGCAUUCAAGAUGGCAUUCAAGCAUGGCCUACGGGAAAAAUGUAAUGGGUUCAGAACACGUUUGCAGAGGAGCAGUACUUGGUCAUUCUUACUUCUGUCUGCAAUGGAACCAGGAGAGAUGGGGUUUCUGAAAGCCUGGGAAGACAACGGUGAGUAAACACCUACAAGACUCAUGCCGUCAUGAAGCUUAUGGUCUAAUGGGAGAUGCAGACCAUCAAAGAAUGACUCGAACGAAUGCAAGAUUGACACUUACUAAUUCUAAGAUGGUGUUAUGAGCAUGUGGAUAGGAGGUUUGAUCUGUUUGGGAAGAUUAGAGAGGGCUUCCUUGAACAAGUGGCAGUCGAGCUGGGGUUUAAAGGAUGAGUACAAAGGAGCUAAGACAAGAAGGGAGAGGGGACUUUCGCAGGAGAGGGGGCAGAAUGUGAAUGGAGAGACUGACAAGGGGGCCAGUGGGCGCAAGGACAAAGAGCAAGAGUGAAUGUGAGGCAACGUGCUGGUCAGGUUGGUUGGGGCCUUUGGUACUAUAUUGCAAAGAGUUUCCAAGGAUGCAGGGGCCCACAGUGACCAUACAAAUCUAGAAUAUCUUUCCACCUCCAGUCACCUUCUGAGUAGUCAGUUUUUUCACACGUGAGUAAUGAAAGUUAACAAUGCUCAAGCUUUGUUGGGAUCUCAUUUAAUGUUUCAUGAUAUUCAAUUUCCUUUUGAAUGGUGUGAAAGGCACAAAGUCAUUAGGGUACAAAUGACACCACUUAAUAAUCAAAGCAUUUGGCCUGUGCUAUGAAUAACAAUAAGCCUAGCCACCCAAAACAGGGGAAAAAAUGAAGAUGGGUUAUUCCAUGGAUCACUGUGCCUAUUAGGUGAUAAAUUAAAAGGUUUGAAAAGGAAGAAAUGAGUAAUACUGUAAUUAAGAAGCAGAUCUACCAAUGUCAUCUAUGGAAGAUUACUCACAUUUACAACAGCCAUCUUUGGAAUGGCUUAAAAUACAAAGGGGGUAUUGAAAAGCAAUACAUUCAUUGCAAAUAGACUUGGAAUCUGGAAUUUCUAUGUUUUGUCAAAUAACUCUAGGAGUCUACAGUGAGUGAGCCCUCAGAUUUUGACCUAGAUGCAAGAGUGACUGGAAAAGUAAAACGUUCAGGAACAUAAAUUGGCCCACUUGGGAAAAGAGAGAAAAGAUUCAAACAGCCAACUGCUUUUUUGGACGAGUUGCACAGGUGUCUUUGCAGUAAUGCAGGUUGUGGACUAUGGUGGAGAAAGGGAGGUGACAAGGGUGCAAAAUUUAAGGAGGCACCCACUCUCAGGGUCAGGCAGGCGCUGGGUCAGCACCUGAGAGGAAGCCCCUCCUUAACUUUUAACCCUUGUCACAUCUCUUGCCCCACCCUGGUUCUGGUCCUCAAGGAUGACCGUUAUUUUUAAAGGAAGGGGAACACUAAGGAGCUUUUAGAAGUAUCUGUUUGGCCACUGAACAGCCCAUGGGGAUGCUCCAAGAGGAUUUUUCAAGGGGCCAUUAGUAGGAACUCUGGCUUCAAAAAGGUAAAGAACAUUCUGCAUAGGAGGAGGCAGGAAUGCAAAAAACAAGAUGGUGGAAUCUAGAUGGAGCACCUGGUCCUUUUUCCUUCGUGGAUAUUUGGAUGACACUGACUCUUGACCAUGGUCACGAGGGGUUCAAGUGAAUUAAAUAUUGAACCAGAAGUUAGAAUGUUCUGCAGAAAUCUGCAGCCCAUAAUCAAGCCCGACUAUAUAUUCUUACCUAUUGUAUUUUGAACUAAAGCAAGAGAUGAAAAACAAUCUAGUGAAUUGCCUCCAAUGUUUGUUUUAUUUUAUUUACCAAUGUUUCCCAGUGCUGGAUUUGGAUGGUUGAAUAGAACUGAAGUGGACACUCGGUGGAUGCUUAUUCCAACAUGAGAGUGAGGUUCUGGGGAGGAAGAGAAAAAAAGUGUAGGAGAUGGUUCCUAUGCCAUGCAGAAACAUAUCCGUUGUACAGUCUGUAAGAGAGACAUUUGAAAUGUGAUGGGGCACAGAAAAGGAAGCAGCUGGGGAGGGGAAAAGGAUGAAAACCAAGGAAGUGACUCUUUGAGAUUUGAAGGUCAAGUAGAAGGCUGUCACUCAGCCAAUAGAAGGACAUAUAACCAGUCCCAGGAAAUAUUGCGCACGUCAGAGAAUGAGUCACUCAUGGCCACAAGACCACGGAGAGUGAUGAUGAGUUAUUGAAAAUGCUCGUGAGUUCCUGAAGCUCCUCAGGUCUGCUGGACAAGGGUAAAAAAUAACCUGAGCUGCCACCGCUCAGGAAAAUUCCACAUGACGGUGGUAGAACUUGCAACAUAUAAUUCUGACUGGCCCUUGCUUUGCAUCUUUUAGCAAAAUCCUCCAGCCGGGAGAUUCCGUAUUUCUGCUCAGAGGACUCUGGUUCCUUAUUAAGCAUGUAAUUAUCUUGCUUCCAGAUAAUAUGGUUUUAUUUGCUCACUGAUUGAUAACUACGAUGUUCCAUGGUGGCUGAGGGCUUUCAGCUGGAGCUACCAGCCAUGAGUUUGUGGGAAAAGGUUAGAACUAUAAGGAGGCCAAAGAGACCCUUCAAAAUCUUGGAAGUUCUCUGAUGGGCAGCCAUAUUUUUGAAAGAAUGACAACCAGACGUGCUGACCUUUACAAAAUUACCGUUCAGAAGGCAGAGGUGACGUUUCUUUAGGCUUGGAGAGAAAGGGCCCACUUGCAGAUGUGUGGGGGGGCAUCCUUAGAACCUAAGGGAAUUGAGAUGUGUUGAUUAUGCCAUUGACAUAGCUGUGGUUUAGUCAAGGGCGAGCUGCCGAGGGUGCCAAAGGAGACCAGCCACCAGAGACAGAUAUGUCUGGGACAAGUUGUCUGGAUAGUAAAAUGGCCUAAAGUAAGGAGCGGAAAUAAAAGAGGAGUUGUGUUGCUGUUUGAGGUGCUUACCAAGUGCUCAUGUUGAAAGCUGGCUCUCACCGUGACUGAAGGGCGGUUUCUUGGGGCAUCUGGGUGGCUCAGUCGGUUAAGCGUCCGACUCUUGGUUUCGGCUCAGGUCAUGAUCUUAC